AGAAUGAAUAUCCAGAGGUCAAGGGUCAAGACCAGGUUCACUUUGGCACAUAUGGAUAAUGGACAGCUGAAUGCAAAACCCCAUGGAUGAGGUAGUCCAGGAGCUUCUGUACUUCACAGGCAGGUUUUCAGUGAGCUGUGCAGGGUUGGAGGUCCCCAGGAGAACCGAACUCACUCCUUCAUUACGGAGGCACCAGGCUACAGAGGAACACAGAGAAUAGAUUUAUGAGGAAGCUGUGCUUUGGUCCUAUAUUUAUCCACUGGUAUGACUGCACAGAGAGAGAAAUACAGUGAGACAACCACAGCAAACCUGCCCUGACAGACCUGCCACCCUCAUCGCUGGAUACUAGCUGAAGAAAUCUGGCACUGUUUCAGUUGGAUAUGGAUCAGUUUACUCAACAGAUAUCUAUCCUUAUGUUUUGAGGAAAUUAUGUGUCUGCCAUGACACAAGAUUAAGUACCUUCAAAGAGGCUCUAGAAGAUUCUGG